CCUACGGGCGGCAGCAGUGGGGAAUAUUGGGCAAUGGAGGAAACUCUGACCCAGCAACGCCGCGUGAAUGAUGAAGGUCUUCGGAUUGUAAAGUUCUUUUCUCAGGGAAGAAGAAAGUGACGGUACCUUAGGAAUAAGCCUCGGCUAAAUACGUGCCAGCAGCCGCGGUAAUACGUAGGGGGCAAGCGUUAUCCGGAAUGACUGGGGGGAAAGGGUGCGUAGGUGGUUUGAUAAGUAGGUAGCGUAACUCCGGGGCUCAACCUCGGCACUACUACCAAAACUGUCGGACGUGAGUGGAGGAGAGGCAAGUGGAAUGCCUAGUGGAGCGGUGGAAUGCGUAGAUAUUAGGAGGAAAACCAGUGGCGAAGGCGAGUUGCUGGACUGUAACUGACGCUGAGGCACGAAAGCGUGGGGAGCAAACAGGAUUAGAUACCCGUGUAGUC
rnacentral:rRNA from 1 species